CGCGGCGCUCUGGGAAGGGGAUUCCGGGCUCCCUCUGCGCAUGUGCAGCCGUAGCCCCACCUCCUCCCUCGUCUUCUCCGGACUCCGCGGGAGCCGUUAGGUGCCCAGAGUCUCCUGAGAAAGUAGAGGGCGCGCCUGGGAGGCUGCGCUGCUGUCAGACGUGUCCAUCACCACAUGUGACAUUAAUGACAUCAUCCUGACCUCGCAGGAUCCCAGAAUAAUGGUGCUUGAAGGAUUUUCCAAAGUCAUCUACUUGCAACUCUCUUGAAAACUUUAAAGACAUUGGCCUGAAAGUUUCAGUGACUUGUCCAGGGAAACCCGGUUUGUGACAGAGUCAGAAGGAAAACUGCAGUUCCCUCUCAGAUAAGUCACCAAAAGCAUCUUAUCAAAGGGGCCUUCUCAGGAAUACAUCCCAGCUGAAACGAACAAUUAAAAAUUCCUGCCUUCAAGCAUCCCAUCUCUUUUCUGUGAAUUUUCUGUACCAAAAGCUGAGCCACAGUUCUCUACACUCGCCCAGGAGCCACAGAAAGUGAACAUCCCUCAGGUGUCAGUGUCAUUCAAGCACAUGCCUGUGGAGUUCCCCAGGAGGAGUGGCCGCAGGUGGAGUCUGCACAGAGGACCCUGUACAGAGACGUGGUGAUGCUGGAGAACUACAGUUGCCUUGUCUGGGAUAGAACUCUCCUCUACUUGAUUCGGCUUUCACACAAAAACACAGACUCACCUGGUGUGGAUAAAACACAAGAACAGGAGUCUGGGAACAAGGAAAACAGUCCUAGAAGCAGAACAAGAGUAUGGGAUCACUCGUGGACAGUGCUGCCAUCUCAUUUGGACAGGUCGCUUCCUAGAUGUGCUGAGUGUGCAAAUUCUGUCUCCUUGUCUCAUCCAGUGUUUCUCUGAAUGGAAGCAAGUAUCUGGGCACCAGGUGUGACUUGUUAUGUGACCCUAGCCAAUACAUCAGCCCCUUUGGGCCACCACCUCCCCUUGGUUAGAAGUCCUCCGGCCGUGGGUAGAUGGAAAACAUCCCAGAAUGGGAGUGACAUGCUCUGAGUUCCCUAGUACGGGCUUUGCCAUCGAUUGUGUGACUCAUUCUGAUGUUCAAACUGUGAGGAUCAAAUUUGAAAUGAUGGAUAUGUUAUAUUAAAUAUAUUAAUAAGAGCAGAAAUUAAACCUGUUGAGUUUAAAUGCAACCUGUAGGGUUUGCUUCCUCUAUAAGCCUGGCUGUCUCUGCAGGAGCUGAAGGUUGCUUCUUUAGGCUUGUUGUCUGGGAGCUAGAGCAGAGUGGAGAGACUGAGGUGGAGCCAGGGUGAGCCAUAUUGCACCUAGCUUUUCCUCCCCUCUAAGUCUGAAUACUGGCAGUGGUGAAUCAGGUGGUUCUAAGGGCUCCUUUCACUUUACCAUUCAUGAUGACCCCACACCACCUCUCCCUCCACGCCACCUUUUUCUCCUUCUUUGGAUGCUCCAACCUCUUUGACGUUUUUCAGCCACCACUCCACUCAGCUCUUAAGCAGCUUUGACCUUGAAGACAUGGAUAUGGAUGAGAACAAGGAUCCACUUGGCACCUUUGGCCACUUUUGCUUCAGUGAACUGAGUGGGGUGUCCAAGAAGAACCCCUGGUGUUAGGAAGACGUCUAAGAAUGUUCCAAUGAUCCCCGCCUCCUGAUAUUCACACCUUUGGACUCUCUCCUGGCUUUGAUGAAGCAAGCUUCCAUGUUGGAGAGGCCCACAGGAGAAGGAACUGAGGAUUGCCUCCAGCCAACUCCAGCCACAGCCACCAGGAAUUGAGGAUCUCAGUCCAACAGGCCUUGAGGAGCUGCAUCCUGCCAACAGCUAUAUAAGCAAGCUCAGAACUAUGUCCUUCUCCAGUUGAGCCUUCAGAUGAGACCCCAGCCCCAGCUGAUACCUUAAUUGCAGCCUUGUGAGAGACCCUGGAGCAGGGAACCCAGGUAGGCCUUGCCUGGACUCCUGACCCAGAAAAACUGUGAGUUAAUAAAUAUGUGUUUUUUUAAGCCACAAAAUUUUGGGGUAUCCAUUACAUAGCAAUAGAUAACACACCCCGAAAUUACUGUAACCUUGGUGUAAGAUAUAGCAUGGCUGGGAAGGCGGGCACCAAAUAGGAGGACGCCCUCUCGGACAGUCUCCCUGGAGAAACUGUCUUCAUGCUCAAAGAUUAUCCCCCAUCGUUUUAUGCUGCAGUGGUAGCAUUCUGCUCCACUAAGCCCAGAUCAGUCUCCAGGAGGCGAGGCCUAGGUAGUGUUGGGUGGAGUGCAUGGCCAGGAUGGGGUCAUGAAGAAUGAUGAUGAGGUCAUUCUUCCCCUUCUCCUUUUUUUUCUUCCUUUCACAUUCACUCCACCGUUGCAUUUUCUUUACUCUCUGUUUCUUUUCCCCCCAUAUCCUGGGUGGCUGCCCGAUGACCAUUCCUUCAGAGAUGGCCAGCUGCCCUCUUGGUCUUGCAAUACUGCUAUCAAGCUAGGCCUCCUGAAGAGGUUUACCUGAGGGGCGGCUCUUCCUGAUCUUCAGCGUCCCUCACAAGCUAGGAGACCUCUUUGUAGAUCUCAAAAUAUACCUUCUAGACAGAUUAACACCCUACGUAUAACAGACUCUUCAGCAGGACCCACCCAGUUCCUAGACCCUGCCCUGGCCACUCCAGUGUCCACAAUCGCAAAACCCAUCCAUACACAGCCCCCCAUUGACUGCCCACCUGUGAGAGUCUCUGGAGUCAGCAACUUUUUCUAAAUGAAAAUAAGCCGCUGUUUUCAGGAAAAUAUUCGUAUCUCUGAUCCUUUUCAGAGCUACAAGUUCCAUUCUCCCUACUGUUCUGGGAAGGUAGAGGAAGGGGAAAGGUGAACUGCUCCGCAUUUUCAUCAGGGUCAGGUGAGGAGUAGAGACAUGGCCCACACCCCAGAUUUCCUGAGGGAGAGAAGGACUCUUAGGAACAGGUGACAUUUAUUCCUCACCAAGAGAUCCAAGAGCAACAUUUCCCCCUACCACUCACCUCAGGGCCCAACCACCUCACACUUCCAAUUCCAAAACUUUCUGAAGCCACAAGGGGGAAUUCUGGCUGUAUUAUUCCAGAGGAAAGCAUCCCACCCUGCAGCUGUGUAUAGUUCAGGAUAAUGAGGGAGCAGAUGGAAAGACAGGUUGAGCCAAGUUCUGGACUUGAAGGGUUUUGCCCACUUUGAAAAGGACUGAAGUUUUUAGAGUAAACUUUUUGUACUUUUUAUGAAAGAAUAAAGUGUUUUAAAUAGAGGACAUCUGAGCUGGGUCAAAUAAAGGACCCAGGAUAAAAGUGAGACGGCCACUGUCAGGUCCCCAACAAGGGACUUGUCAUCUUUUAGAAACCAAAAGAGGCAAUCAGAGCUGACCUCCUCCUUCCUUUUCCUGAGCACAAGCCCCAGAGUACCCCAAACCUACAUGCCCAGUGCAUGAUGCAGAGAACAGCACUCUCUGUUAGCAGAAAAAAUUGAGGAGGAUUAGUUUUCCUGGUUGUGGCUAACCGUUGGUCUCAUCAGAGGAUGUGUUCUCAUGAAAACUGCAAGGCUUUCUCAACAAGGACUGAAUGAUUUCUUUGGGGACAUUUUUCCUCCCUGAAAGUGUUGGAGAAGCAUUUUCUGUUUGAAUAGAAGAGUCAAAUCCCUGAACCCAGUGCCUUCCUCAGGGGUGAGGGUGGCCAGAGGGACCUGGCAUACCUGAUGCAUGCAGCUGGGGCUUGGAUGGGGCAUAGACUCCCUGGAAGGCGGGGAAGGGGGUUGACUCUGGCAUAAAUGCUGGUCCUCGAAGGCUCCAACUUUCCAGGGAUGUCCGAUCCUGUCUCUGUUCUGGCUAACACUUAUAAACUACUCUGGUCAGCAGAGGCGGGGUCUUGGCUGUAGGAUGUGGUCCUUGCCCAUUCCCCUGGCUGGGAGUCAGAGAGAGCCCCGUAGUUGGCGGGAUGUCCCUUGUCAGGCUCUACUGGGUCUGCAGUUCCUCCUUCUGCUGACUUAACUCCAUGGCCUCAGGUUUGUACCCACAUGCUAGUGUCUCUUCUAGGAUCUUCCCCUUGGUUGCCAUGAGCUCAUGAGCUUCAGGAGGCCCACAGCUCACAGAGAGAGCUGUGCUUUCAGCUGGGUGUUCAUGUUGCACAAAGGUUGACAUGAACUUGGGUUUUUGCUGGGGACUUUGCUGCCCUAUGAUUUUUCUCUUGGAAUUGAUCCAUUGAAAAGAAAUUGCCUCCUCUUUUUUCUGAAGUAACUUUCAGGAAGAAGCUGUUCAUUCUGUGACAGAGAUGGGGAAGUGCCCUCUAAUUCUCUGUCCUCGAUAGAGUGGCUCUUCUUUCUGGCUUUAGAUGUCCCUACUCCUGAGUCCUCACUUCCACAUUCUCCUGCUUUGGAGCUUUCAGAGGCCUCACUCUCUUUGCAGCUGAUGAGAAGUUCUUAUUCGGGAACUUCCGUGACACACACUUAGAAACCCAGGGUUCCUGCUGCUGCUCCAUGCUGAUCCCGGUGUUCUCCAGGUGGACGUGCAGCACCUGGGAAACUCCCGUGUCCCCACUGGAAAUGCUCUGGGACUGAGUCAGGGAGGACUUAGAAGGCAAGCUAUCUGAAAUAAAGGACUUGUCUUGA